rnacentral:misc_RNA from 1 species
CCCCACGUAAACCUCCCCAAAACCCUUCCGUCAGCCCAGUAAACCUCCACAAAACAACGAAGCAUUACCAACCCACCUUCCCCACGCGGCCUGAAAGGGCGGAAGCGGCCUGGAACUCCGCAGUGAAACCACCAACACGAAAAGGGGCGAUCGCACGCACCGGGAAGAGGAGGAGACAAGAUUGUUCUACCCACGUGUCCUCGACGGCGAGCCGGGCGGGAGUGGAGACGGGAAGUGGGAAGCUGGAGCAAGAGAUCGCACCUUCUGUUGCGCCUCUCGCGGCUCGCCGACGGGAGUCAGAUGGUUUCUAUGGCUGCGGACUGCGAGGGAGACUUGCU